rnacentral:rRNA from 1 species
UACGUAGGGGGCAAGCGUUGUUCGGAAUUACUGGGCGUAAAGGGCGCGUAGGCGGCACGGCAAGUCAGGAGUGAAAGGCCUGGGCUCAACCGAGGAACUGCUUUUGAGACUGCCGAGCUAGAGUGCAGAAGGGGCAACUGGAAUUCCCAGUGUAGCGGUGAAAUGCGUAGAUAUUGGGAAGAACACCUGAGGCGAAGGCGGGUUGCUGGGCUGACACUGACGCUGAGGAGCGAAAGCCAGGGGAGCAAACGGG